CCUGAAUUGUGCCCAGCCAGACUGCGGCACCUUACCUAGAAAAGAAAAAGCUGCAAUAGGAACUCCUUUGGUGGGAAGACCUGCCCCUCUCCACCCAGCUGGACUGAGGAGCCCUCGGAGCAGAUAGAGUCUGGCCUUACACUUGGGAUCCUCCUGCCUCAACCUCCUGAGUCACUGGGAUGACAGUGGGACUGACCGGCAAAGAUGCUCUUUUGAAUGACAGGGGACCAAAUGUGGCAUAAGCAACGUUGUCCUGUGGACAGAAUGAAACAGAUACUUCACUUCUCUCUUCUCCUAGUCAACAAGAACUGCAUAGGGCCCAUCACCUCCAGAAGGACAUUCUGGAUGCCUGCAGGAACGAUGGCACCUACCCAUUACCUUUGACUUGUCUUGAGGCCAUGGACCACAUUUCUCUUUUGUCAAGUUUGAGUCUAUCAAGAAACUCUGUUGCAGAUAGAAUAUCAGCACUUUCUGCACUAAGCUAUUUGGAAGGCCAGAACGGUCUUGUUCUUGGAAUUAUGAGGAGAGUGAAGGGAGGCAUCCACACCAAGAAAUGGUGCAGUCUGAAAACCAGAGACGGAGUUCUAAGUAGGCAACUCUCUGACAUACCAAUGGGUUCUUUGGAAAUCUGCUCCACGUGAAACCUGAGUCCUGACAUCAGUAUUGAGCCUGGUAAAAUCUAAUGAAAAGAACUUCAUCAUCCCCCUCUCAGUCAAGCCUUAACUUUCCACCAUUGCCUCUGGGGGUACCAACCUGUGGCAGGACUGGGGAUGCCAAGAUCUGAUCUGGAUUUUUGAGAGAUUUCUACUUGGAAGCAGCAAUAAUAGAAAAGCCAGGCCAAUAGUGAAUUAAGCCUGAAAACAAUACUAAGAAGAGACCCUUCCACCAACCAUUUGAAGUUGUGGAAAUGGAGCUUUUUUGGGGGACCCCAUAACAGCCAUAAACUCCCAGAAGAUGGUGACGAUGUCUGCUUUAUUUGGGACAGUUCCGCAUGACCCAAUGCACAGUCCACCCUGUUUAGUAUCUCUCUUUGCAUUCUUGAUUUUUGGCCUGAUGAUCUUGAACACAGCAAGCCCCGAGUGUAAGUGUUUUCCCUUGCCCUCCCGGCUUCUCUGAACACUUGAAAUGGGUGAGCAAGGCCACGUCUCUUGAAGCAACCCCAUUUAUUCCAGACAUUCAUCGGGCGUUGUGAUUUACUCUGAAUCCAGAGGCACCGAAGCGCUUUGGUGUGACCCUUGCAGUCUUCAGAGAUUCAUCCUUCACCCCCCAACUACACUCACACCCACACUUGGCCAUAGCUCACUUGUGACAGGCCAGUUUGGAUCUUAAUCACGGGCUCCCAAAGCUUUAGUUAACAUAGCUUUAUCCGUGAACUUAAUCAGCAGGCUCUCCACUCCAUCAUUUCAGCCAUUGAUCACACAACAGCCACUAAAUCAUACAGAGCCCUGGCUGAUCCCUGAAAACCAGGGCCCGUUCUCCACACUGAGCCACAGAAGGAAACUUUCUGGAUUGCAUUUUAACCUCUUAUUUACCAGUUUCAUUUGAACGGCAUCAUCUCUGAAUAACUCUGUAAUGAACAGCAUGGAAAACAUUUUUAUUCAAUAACCCAAUGGGACACCUACGUUGUAGUUUAAGAAGGCAGAAAUUUGGAAGCAUAUGGAAUAAAAAGUAGAAUCAUUUUUUUUCCUCCUAAUCCCAUUCUCUUCUCCAAAGAUACCCAUGAAAUAUAUCUUUCCCCUGGAAACGUUUUAUUUACAUUUUACAUCUAUGCAGAUUGUGUCAGACAGAGUUGCUGCUAACCAGAUAUCCACAUGCUUUCCUAAUCCUAGCCUUCUCACAGCCUCGAUGAGAAGGGAUGUAUACUAUAGCUGGGGAUGUAUACCAUAAACAAAAGUGUCAUUCUUCAUUGCCAGGCUGAUGCAUGUGACAGAGUGAGUUCCCCAUGAGCUGACUUAAUUUGUUGCAAACACUGAAGACUCCAUCUUCCAAAUGGUACAGAUAUAAUAAAGUAAUGGAGGCUCCAUCAGCCUGGGGCUCUGAGUGACUGUGUGGAUUAGAGUUCCUCUCUCAUUUUGCAUUUCGGAAUUACACACACAAACACACAC